CACGUAGGGCGCAAGCGUUGUCCGGAAUUAUUGGGCGUAAAGAGCUCGUAGGCGGUCUGUUGCGUCUGCUGUGAAAACUCGGGGCUUAACCCCGAGCCUGCAGUGGAUACGGGCAGACUAGAGGUAGGUAGGGGAGAAUGGAAUUCCCGGUGUAGCGGUGAAAUGCGCAGAUAUCGGGAGGAACACCGAAGGCGAAGGCAGUGUCCUGGCGCGUAACUGACGCUGAGGUGCGAAAGCCAGGGGAGCGAACGGG
rnacentral:rRNA from 1 species